CCACACACACACACAAAAUACCCUACAGAAUAGAAGAAAAUGUGUCUGUAUUUAUUUGGGUAGAAAUUCUGACAGUUGGCUUUAAUAGCAACUUACAGAAAAUUAAGGGUCACCUGAGUAGGACCCCAAUUGAGCAAUUAAUUCAUAUGGGAUGACCCAUCACAAAUGUAGGCGGUACCUUUUGGUGGCCACACAGAUAAAAAGGGGUUGACAAAAGAUUAUUUAUAUUGUUGCUAUGGUGGAUUUUUUUGCUUAUACCAAAACCACUGUUUCAGGGUUUUCAAUGCUGGAUUGGGCCUGCUGAAGCAUCCAUCCCCAAUGCACUGAGUUUUCAGCCUCUCCAGUGAGAGAGCAAUUGUGGGACUGCUCACACUGCUGAGUACCCAGUCUCCAGGACCAAAUGACUGCCAAGUUCUUAGCCUCCCAAGUGUGAUUGAGCUAUUAAUCUUUCAAAGUAAACUUUAAUUCAAUAAAAUGCACAUAUAUAUUAAAGUAUGCAUUUACAUUUUUAUUUUAUUGGUUCUAGUCCUCUAUGGAUCCUUAACUAGCACAGAAAUUUAAUAUCUGUAAUAUAUAAGGAACUUGCACAUUUUAACAAGCAUUAUUAUAGGUUUUGAAGAUGGACAAAUGAUCUAUAUAGAAGAUUUUUUAAGAAAUUUUAAGUUGCCAACAAAUACAUGAGAAAGGUCAAAAUCUUCAGUCACCAGAGAGCUGCAAGUUAAAACAAUUACAGUGUGAUAUUAUUAGCCAUUAAAGUGAAAUCUGUCAUUUUUCGGUAAAAUGGGUAGAACCACAUGGCUUGGUCAAAUGAAAUGAAAACAAAAAGUUGAGAACUAUAUUUUAUAAGAGGCUAAAAAUUGUUGAGUUGAAAGUGGUGAAUAACAGGUAUUGGGAGGGUGAUGGGGGGAGUUAGAGCAGAAUGAGGACUUAUUUGAUGCAUGAAGUUUAUGGCACUAUCCUAACACUAUGCCACAUCAUGUAUACAGUUACUACAUGGAUAUGUGUCUUUCAAGAUGUCCAAUACUUCUCUGUAAUCAUUUGCUUUUAAGAUAAAAGCUAUCGGGAACAAGCCUCUACCUGCCUUACAGCACCAUUUCACUGUCUGUACCUUUGAUUAGUGUCCCAGAUCCAGUGAAUUCAAAUGCUAUAUAUUGAAAUUCUAUGCCUCCCGUGUAAAACUGAAAACUAUACCAUACUUGAUUUAAACAUAUUAGCAGUUUCUCUCCUUCAUUAUGUACUCCGCUAAAUUUGAAUAUGAAACCAUUCUUGUACCACUGACAGUUGGCAGAAAGUUUACUUUAUAAACACAUUUUUAAGC
rnacentral:lncRNA from 1 species